rnacentral:lncRNA from 1 species
GUUUAUCCACAUAAAGAGUCCUAUGGGAGGGGGGCUGAUUUGUUGAAGAUUACUGGGAAUUAGGAUGACUUACUUACUAUCUUGGUGGUAGAGGUAGAAACAGGUAAGUAUAAAAAACCUGUUCACAGAGCUAAGACAGACUUGAGUGAGAAAACCAGUCUCUCCUCCAGGCAGCAUCUGAAAAUCUGUCACUUGUUCCUGCAUAACACUCUCCCCAUCAUGAGGAACAUAGACUCAAUUGUCCUCAGUGUGAACACAUCUUAUAAACAUGGGAAUUAGUGGUUAUUUUCAUGAUGUAAGUGAAGCACCUGUAACUUUAAACAUUUUAAGAACUACUUUUUGGUUUGAGCUUAACUUGCUCUUGUUCCACGACUACUGACACAAAUUAUUAAGAACAAGAAAACAUUCCCUGGGUAAUAGACAGAGUAUAUACUCCUAAUCCUAAUGGAGCUGUUAGGUUAGAACUCGCCCCAACGCCUCUGCCAGGAGCUACAUUACAAUACUACAAACUCUUCUCUUUAUUUAGAGGAGCGUGCUAUCCUCACCUCCACAGAUGACACUGAUACGGAGCACAAGCUGCUGGAGGAAGUUAUUGUUGAACGACCACCAGUUUAUGUAAUUGUAAGUUUAUCUUUGGGCUUCCUCACACCCACCCCCAUGGACUUUCUCAAUGACCACCAGUGCUUUCUCCCAUUCAUCUCCAAGAACAGGAUGCACUGUAAAGAGGAUAGUCCCAUGUGUGCAGUCUCUCUACUUCCACUGAGUGCAUUUGAAAAUAUUUCAUACAAAGAACAUAAGAAGAAAUAUGUAGCAUGGUCAGCUGUUUCUUGCCUGUUGAUUAC